AGAGUUUGAUCAUGGCUCAGAUUGAACGCUGGCGGCAUGCCUUACACAUGCAAGUCGAACGCGAAAGUGGGGGCAACCCUGCGAGUAGAGUGGCGAACGGGUGAGUAACACAUCGGAACGUACCCAGGAGUGGGGGACAACCUCGAGAAAUCGAGGCUAAUACCGCAUACGUCCUGAGGGAGAAAGCGGGGGAUCUGCAAGGACCUCGCGCUCAUGGAGCGGCCGAUGUCGGAUUAGCUAGUUGGCGGGGUAAAAGCCCACCAAGGCUACGAUCCGUAGCUGGUUUGAGAGAACGACCAGCCACACUGGGACUGAGACACGGCCCAGACUCCUACGGGAGGCAGCAGUGGGGAAUUUUGGACAAUGGGGGCAACCCUGAUCCAGCCAUGCCGCGUGAGUGAAGAAGGCCUUCGGGUUGUAAAGCUCUUUCGGCCGGAACGAAAUCGCGUACGUGAAUAACGUGCGUGGAUGACGGUACUGGAAGAAGAAGCACCGGCUAACUACGUGCCAGCAGCCGCGGUAAUACGUAGGGUGCGAGCGUUAAUCGGAAUUACUGGGCGUAAAGCGUGCGCAGGCGGUUCUGCAAGUCAGAUGUGAAAUCCCCGGGCUUAACCUGGGAACUGCGUUUGAAACUACGGAGCUAGAGUGCGGCAGAGGGGGGUGGAAUUCCACGUGUAGCAGUGAAAUGCGUAAAUAUGUGGAGGAACACCGAUGGGCGAA
rnacentral:rRNA from 1 species